CGUGGAUGGUUACUUCGGUGGAUA
rnacentral:miRNA from 1 species